GUGUUUUUAUUAUUGUUGUUAUAAUAAUAAUAAUAGUAUAUUGUUAUUAACGAGAAAGAGAUCCCUCUCUCUCUCUCUCUCUUUCUCUUUCUUUCAUACAUGUACACAUAUACACACACGUAUAUACUUCUUACAAACUUCAUCCUCACGAGAUCGUAUAUCAGAGUCUGAAGAGAGAUCGAAAUGGGAGUGGUACUGAUGCUGCUGCUGUUGCUGGUGCGCGGAUUCGUUCGAGGUUAACCGAUCACUCGGUGCCUUCUCGCGCCUGGCUGCUACUCUCGAGUGGAUCCUCUCGAAGGGUAAUUAGUCGUUGGACGUACGAGAAGAGCUACUCCCCUUCUGCAUCGUCACAUGUCCUUCUUUAUCGUCAUGCUGACCUUCACGUUGUUGUUACUCUUCCUGCUACUUGGCCGUCCGGUCGCCCGUGCGGAUAACUUGGCCCUGUUGGCAGGCACCCUGAAGACCUAUCAGCGUGCAGCCUGCGACGAGGAAACGAUGACGCUCAAGUGUCCACCCGGCACGACGAUAUCGGUCGCGCUCGCUCGCUAUGGGAGAGCUGUUGCGAAUGGACCAGGAAGAUGCGGCAUCUCUUCCGACGUUUCAUCUAAUUUUGCUAUCGAUCAUCAUCAACAAACCAACGACACGUGCUUAUUGCCAGACUCUUUACAGUACUCACUGUUGCAGACGGUCGUCGAGAUGUGUCAGAAGAAGAGGCAGUGUAAAUUCAACACGAAUCCGAAGACCUUCCAAGGAGAUCCGUGUCCUGGUCUUCCAAAGUACGUCGAGGUCGCUUACAAGUGCAGUCCUUACGAAUUCAGGAGUAAGGUGGUUUGCGAGAACGACGUUAUUAAUCUCACCUGUCACCCCGGACAGAGAGUGGCCAUUUUCCGUGCGUCCUUCGGCAGACUGGAGUACGAGUCCCUUCAGUGUCCACAACCUCACGGACUGAAAAACGAUACCUGUAUGGCGACGUACGCGACAGAGACAGUAAUGCAAAUGUGCCAUGGCAAACGACAUUGUUCCAUCGUGGCGAACAGCACGACGUUUAACGACCCUUGCAGACCGGACAUCAGGACGUAUCUCACGGUCGUUUAUACCUGUGUACCACGUUCGGUCUUGAGGGAGCAGUAUCAGGGCGAUCUAGAAUCGGACGAGAUGAAUCUAACGCAUAGGAUCGACGAGGGCUUCGACAGAGUCGAUUUCAGAGCGGAAUUCAGUCCAAGUCCAAAUCUCGAAGGACCACAGCCUCAACCAAGGGACAACGUUUCGCGAAAUUUCCCGACGGUCAGUUCAUCGCCACCACGUGCAAGGACCAACAACGACGUGGACAACGCGUUGAACAAAUUAGGCUCGGUUGGUAAAGAGGCGAAAGGUACCAAAGAAAAAGACUUGUCCUUAUCGGCCGUGGUAACCACGGGAAUGAUAUUUGGCGGCAACAGGGGUGGUAAUAGUAGUGCCCUACCUACGACGGUAUCACCGUCUAACUGCACGACGGUCGUCUACGCGGUUCCCGACGAGGAUCGUAUGGUUGUCGGAUAUCUCAAUGAAUGGAUCAAUGCCUACUCGUUCAUAUCAAACAAUCAAGAGAAAUUUUAUCUCUACAUCAUCGUAUCGGUCACUGGUGGCAUCCUCGUAUUUUUGGGCUUGGUGAUCGGCAGACUUCUUUUGAGUCGUCAUCGCGCGAAACGAGAUGCUAAGUUCCAUGCAAAUAACGAGGCACUUCCAAAUGCAUUUACGGACAACAUCUCCGAGGUCGACGCGAACAUCGAUCUCACUACUCCGGUUCCGGUCCCGAUGCAGGACACCAGAAUACCGGAGACCCAAUUGGCCGAGAGACUUCACGGUGAGCGUUAUUACACCGAUACGAGGAUACCAUUGUCACCUAGCAGCAUUCACACUGCCCCAAGUCAUCAUGCGACGAGCACGGGUGUCAGGGUCGAUCUGGGUAACCACAUGGUGGGCACGGAUAGCCUUCACACGAUCUUACGCGCAGAAAAUCCACGAAGCCUCAACACCAAAAGCUACUACUACGGCUGACACGAGGAAGGGGUUGUCCCCCGCGAGGGACGACCCCCGUCCUUGAGUCCCGUGCCGGAAGAAGACGAUAAAAAUGAUGAAGAAUAAGAAGAAUAAGAAGAAGAAGCAGAAGAAGAAGAAGAAGAAGAAGAAGAAGAAGAAGAAGAAGAAAAAUAAAAAAGAUGCAUUUCUUGUCGCAUACGAAUGACGAGUUAUCGAGUGCAAAUUGUACCAAAGACCUUCUAUUAAUUAAAAAUAUCAUCGUUCGACGAGGUUCGAGAAAUUGUCUUACGAGUAAUAAUAUCGUAUCGAGGUUGACCUCCUCGAAACGGAGUGCCUGAUAUAUAACAUUCAACGAGAAACAUACGUGAAUGUGGUACGUACACGUAGCCACCUCGAUGACAAUUAAGGUUCGAUUGAUUUCUAUUUUAUUAGAUGAAUUUCUCUCCGAUAACUGUUGUUUUCCAAUUUAUUAUUUGUCCUUCCUUAUUUCGAUCUUGGAAAUGUAUCUGUUAUUUCGAAUACACCAAAAUAUUCAACGAUCGUUCGUAUGUAAUUUCGUUAUUAAUUCUUCAUUUUCUUUAUGUUUCUUUCUUUUUCUUUUUUUUUUUUUGUAUCGUUCUCUUAUCAUGCGACAAUUUUUGUAAGUUGGUAUGGCUCGUGUGUACCACCAUGAUGCUUCGCGUUAUAUCAUACACAGGUUUCUUUCUUAUCUCUUUUUUGUACGAAUAUAAGAAUGUAAGAAUGAAUGGGAUAAGUGAUAAGACGAAUGUGUGCGCGUGUGUGUCUAUUGUGUGGAUAACAACUUUAUUUGUUAGAUCGAUUAAGACCCUUACGGGAAUAAGUAUAUAGGAAGUUAGAUAGAUGGGUAGAUAAUAUUAGUGAUAUGGGAUAUGUGAAAUAGCGACGAUUGAAGUGUGUGUCUGUAAGAGAGAGAUAGAGAGAGAGGGAGGGAGAGGGAGGGAGAGAGAGAGAGAGAGAGAGAGAAAGAACGAAUGUAUGCGUGUAAAAGAGAAGAAAAUAAAGAUACCUAUGUCGUAAGUGAUAGUUUCUAUUGUAACUAAGAAGACGUACGUUAUUGAGCAUCUGUAAAUAUUCCUGUAUUAUAAAAAUAACUUUCUGUCCAGCGACCGUAUAUCAACGACCUCGAUCAUCUUUGAACGUAUCCUUUUUCCUCUAUCUCUCUCUUUCUCUCUCCCUCCCUCUCUCCCUCCCCCUUCCUCUGUACCUCUCUUUCUCUGUUUCUCUAAUUGUAUACUUUCCAAAGGAAAAAAUCGUCGAGGUUGUCGGAACACGGUUUUUUUCGCGUGUAAAAUAAAAAAAUAAAAAAAAAAGAAACGUGCGGCCCGAUUAUUAAUAAUAAUAAUAAUAAUAAUUAUUAUUAUUAUUAUUAUUAUUAUUAUUUCUUAAGCGAUAUUCACAAAUAAUUUGUAUUUCCAUUGAAUCACAUUGUCAUCGUCGUUCGAAAGAAAAAUCGAGGAGGUAUUUCAUUUCCUUCGUCAAAUGAUACGAACGAACGCUUGAUGCGUCGAAGACAAAAAUCCCAUGACCGUGAUUACUUGAUUAUUUAAAAAAGAAAAAGAACGAACACGAACAAACAAACAAAAACAAAACGAAGCGGGCCUGUGUGUUGUACGAUAAUGUAAUAACUGUCCUCCACGUGAUUUUCAAGGAUAAUAUAAUAAAUUAUGACACAAUUCGAGCACA